CCGAUACGGCAUGCAUGCCGUCGAAUCGAAUCGCGACAGCGUGCAGUAGUACCGAGGUUCGUAAGAUCGUGCCGGCAUGGGUCGAAGAUGGCACACGGAGUCGUGGAUGGAGUAGCUGAAAUGAGUAGAGAUGCUGUAUGAAUCACCGGUACGGUGCACGUCAGUGUCCUGCUCAGUGAUCGUCCACUGAGGUGCGAACAGCUCGUGGAGCGUACGUGAUUCAUAUAGCAUCUGUAGUCCUAUCAGUACUCGACGACGCAACAGGUGUGUGGAGGUAUAGACCCCUUGCGUUCCGGAGUUUAACACCAUAAGUGUUCCUCAUCGGCAGUAUGUUCGCAAGAUUAAAACUCACAGGAAUUAUCGGGUACCCGCACAAGAAGUGGGGAGUGUGGUUUCAUUCUAUGUAUUGCGAAGAACCUUUGGCAGGGUUUUACAUGCACGUUCUUCCCCUGGAGACAGGAGUCCCUUCGGGGCGCGAGCACAGGUGUACAAUGGCUAAAGUCACCUCGUGCAGGGGGGGUGUUGGGUUAAGUCCCGCAACGAGCGCAAGCCAAGUGGUCGGUUAGGACGCCCGACCAGAUUGGCACGGUUAACAUGGAGGAAGGUGGGGAUGAUGUCAAGUCAGCACGGCCCUAUUGUCCUGGGCGACACACCCGCCCUAAUGGGCGAGACAAUGGGUAGCCAACCCGUGAGGGGGAGCCAAUCCCAGCAAACUCGCUCUCAGUUCGGAUGGCAGGCUGCAACCCCCCUGCCUGAAGCCGGAGUUGCUAGUAACCGUGGGUCAGCACACCACGGUGAAUACGUUCCCGGGUCUUGUACACACCGCCCGUCACACCACAAAGUCGGCAACACCUGAAGCCGCUGGGCUAACCCGUCAGGGAGGCAGGCGUCGAGGGUGGGGUUGGUGAUUGGGGCGAAGUCGUAACAAGGUAACCA
rnacentral:rRNA from 1 species